GCCGCGGUAUUUUAACUGUGCUAAGGUAGCAUAAUAAUUAGUCUUUUAAUUGAGGUCUGGAAUGAAUGGUUGAACGAGAAAUUUACUUUAUUUCAUUUAUUUUUUUGAAUUUUAUAUUUUGGUUAAAAAGCUUAAAUGUUGAAGAGGGACGAAAAGACCCUAUAGAUCUUAAAUUUUUUAUUAUAAUUUAUUUUUUUGUGGUUUUUUUUAAUUUGAAGUAAUCAAUUUUGGUUGGGGCGAUAAUUAAACAUUUAAACCUUUUUUUUUUUUUACAUUUAUUUUUGAUUUAUUGAUCUUUAUUUUUGAUUAAAAGAUUUAGAUACCUUAGGGAUAACAGCGUUAUUUAAUUGGAGAGUUCUAAUCAAUAAUUAAGAUUGCGACCUCGAUGUUGGAUUAAAAUUUUCUGUGGGGUAGGUUUUACAGUUUAAGGUCUGUUCGACUUAUAAAUUUUACAUGAUCUGAGUUCAGACCGG
rnacentral:rRNA from 1 species